UACGUAGGGUGCAAGCGUUAAUCGGAAUUACUGGCGUAAAGCGUGCGCAGGCGGUUUUGUAAGACUGUCGUGAAAUCCCCGGGCUCAACCUGGGAAUCGGCGAUGGUGACUGCAAGGCUAGAGUUUGGCAGAGGGGGGUAGAAUUCCGACGUGUAGCAGUGAAAUGCGUAGAUAUGUGGAGGAACACCGAUGGCGAAGGCAGCCCCCUGGGUCAAAACUGACGCUCAUGCACGAAAGCGUGGGGAGCAAACAGG
rnacentral:rRNA from 1 species